GCCCCGUCCGCGCAGCUCGUCCGGCCCGCCCGCAGGCCAGCUUCUCUCGGGAGCCUCCACCCAGGCGCAUGGCUCCAUGAAGCAAGAGGAGGAGGCAGAGCGCGAGAGAUCCCGUCCGCCCCAGCCGCGUCUGGGCCAGGAGAAAAGCAAAACCAUAUUCCUGCUGCUGUCAGUUUUGAUGCACUGAGAAAACUUCAGAGACCUAAGCUUUUUCCAGAGAAGAGAAGCUUUACUGGUGUUCCAGCCCUAAGGCUCAUAUGACAUUAACAGACAAGACACUUUUCAGAAAGACAGGGAACUGUGGAAGUAAACCAGGGGUGACAUGGAUUAUCAAAUAUUGUGGAUCAGGUGAGCUCUAGGCUUCUCAAUGCAAGGUUGUUCUUUUGGGCCACAUCUAAGAAAUCUUUGUCUAGCCAAAAGCCACAAAUAAUUUCUCAUUUUUUGGCUUCUGGAAGAUGUACAGUUAAAUGUUAUAUUUGGGACUGUUAUCUAAUUUGAUUAAAUUGCACUCUACAAUAUGA
rnacentral:lncRNA from 1 species